AAAGUUGAUUUUCCUUUAUUUUUAAGUUAUAAUCCGGUUUGUCGAGCAAUCGACUAUGAUACUAAACGGUCAGUGGAAUAGGUGUAUUGGACUCGGGGGCGGUACCCGACACCUCCACCAUUUAUGGGGGUGAAACAGCAUCGACAAGCACAAUAAAGAUUGAAUCUUGUAUCCGGCAUUGUACCGCCGUUAUCGGGCUGAAACUUUAAAUGCGAAUGAUAAUUUCGCUCCAGUUGCAGUUGCUGUUUAAUUGACAGUUUGCGACUAAAUCAAUUCCUUUGGUGAUGAGAAUCGAAGGUGGGGUUGGUGCUUUCCCAGCAACAGAAAAGCACCGCU
rnacentral:tmRNA from 1 species